GCCGAAAUGCCUCAGUCGGGAGAGCCUUAGUCUGAAGAUCUAAAGGUCCCUGGUUCAAUCCCGGGUUUCGCCA
rfam:Sus scrofa chromosome 10.